ensembl:snoRNA
UUUGGCAAUGAUGACCCACUUGCCCUCACUGAGAACAGAGUUUGGUAAUGAGAAUCUUUUUAUUUAUUUUUUAAAUGGAGUCACA